GACUUAUUUCCCCGAGGAGGUAUUUCUCGCACACACCUGGAAGCCACAAUGUCAUCCGUGAAGGGAGUCGGCUCUUAUAUUUUUGUGUUUUUUGAAGCGAAUUAUCCUGUUGCCGAGGGAGCCAUGCAUCUGGAAACGGCUGGGGAAGGAGACGGUGGCUGAGUGGUUAGCGUGCCGGUCCUGUGUUCGCCGCGUCAUGGAUGAUGAGGGUUUGAACCCGCCGCUUCCACCCGGCGAGUGGCCACAGACUACUUGUCCUGAAGACCACCACCAUCAUCCUGGACUGUAUGGGACUGUCCAAGGGAAAGCAAGACAGCAUGAGCCAAGAAUAGAUGGGGUCGCUAUAAACAUUUGCCGGCUUGGGCCCACCACCAGGCCCAACCGAGGGAGGUUGGUGUAGCAGUGCCGGAGGUGCCAUAACACAGGGCACUCCUCACCUCAACAACAGUCUCUUCACCGACAAGUAAUUCUUCACCAACAAGCUUUUCAGCAGCUUGGAGAAAUAGAGACAAGAGGAGGAGGAGGAAGAAGAGGAGGAGGAAGAAGAGGAGGAGGAGGACUUUGAAGACUGACAGACAGACAUCAUUCCAGUGAUGAAAGAGGAAGAGGAAGAGGAAGAGGAGGAGGAGGAGGACACAGGAAUUUCUUGAAUUGAACGGACAUCUCGGUCUGCCUGCGGGACACCGCACACUCUGGAAGAAGAAAGAACACCAAGAUGUCAAGUUCCUGCAGAAUCAGCCUCUUAGUGAAGGAAAUGUGCUCUAUUUAUUUAAUAAAUGAUUGACAAAAAAAUAA